rnacentral:tRNA from 1 species
GCCUGGGUGGCUCAGUCGGUUAAGCGUCUGACUUCGGCUCAGGUCAUGAUCUCACGGUUCGUGGGUUCGAGCCCUACAUCAGGCU